rnacentral:rRNA from 1 species
GAUGAACGCUGGCGGCGUGCCUAAUACAUGCAAGUCGAGCGAACGGACGAGAAGCUUGCUUCUCUGAUGUUAGCGGCGGACGGGUGAGUAACACGUGGAUAACCUACCUAUAAGACUGGGAUAACUUCGGGAAACCGGAGCUAAUACCGGAUAAUAUUUUGAACCGCAUGGUUCAAAAGUAAAAGUCGGUCUUGCUGUCACUUAUAGAUGGAUCCGCGCUGCAUUAGCUAGUUGUUAAGGUAACGGCUUACCAAGGCAACGAUGCAUAGCCGACGUGAGAGGGGGAUCGCCCACACUGGAAGUGGGACGCGGUCAAGACGCCUACGGGAGGCAGCAGACGGGAAUCUGCCGCAAUGGGCGGAAGCCUGACGGAGCGAGGCCGCGUGAGAGAUGAAAGUGCUCGGAUCGUAAAACUCUGUUAUGAGGGAAGAACAUAUGUGUAAGGAACUGUGCACAUAUUGACGGUAACGGGUAAGAAAGCAACGGCUAACUACGUG